UUAAGUUCAGCGGGUAUUCCUACCUGAUCCGAGGUCAACAUUUCAGAAAGUUGGGUGUUUAACGGCUGUGGACGCGCCGCGCUCCCGGUGCGAGUGUGCAAGCUACUGCGCAGGGGAGGCUGCGGCGAGACCGCCACUGUAUUUCGGGGACGGCCGCCCGCUGAGGGACGGCCGAUCCCCAACGCCGACCCCCCGGAGGG
rnacentral:misc_RNA from 1 species